rnacentral:tRNA from 1 species
GGCGAAGUGCCAGAGUGGUUAAUGGGUGUGACUCGAACUUCAUAAGAUAUCACAUGGCUUCGGUCGCGCAGGUUCGAAUCCUGUCUUCGUCG